CAAAAUUUUCCUAAACAAAUAAUAAACUAAAUUCGUUUUCUACCACUAGUAUGAAUAACUGAGUUACAAGUAUAGUUUUGGUUUACAUCAGGAUAUCUCAUUGGUUUGUUGGUUUCGUUAGAAAGAUAGUUGGCGAUCUAGAUUAGAAUUUAGAAUGGAACGUAUGAUCCGGUGUGUCUUUGAGAAACUUUCAAGUCGAGUACAAUUAAAAGCUAACGAUUUAAGGUUAAAGAGAACUGCAACUAGUGCAUAGACGUAAAAUACAUAUAGAACACAAUACAAAACAUGUGAAUCGCAAAAGUCUACACUGAACUCUUUCCAUUAAGAAGUAAGAUUCAUAAAUAUAAUGCAGAUUCCAAACAAUAGAGCCAUGCUCAAAAUUAGGACGAACCAUCACGCAGUAGAGUAUUUUCGGUAAAAUUUGAAGUCUUAAAUCAGAAGCUGUCCUUAUUACAAAACCAAGUGUUUUAAAUAUAAUAUUAGACAUUAACCACUCCCGUCCAAAUUUGUCUUCUCACUAUUGGAGUUUUCCAAACAAA